rnacentral:lncRNA from 1 species
CCAUAUUAGGUAUACUCGAGUCGAGUACGUGGUUAGUCAUAACACGUCAGUAGCCCCCAAGUGCCUGGUUGAAUCGAAGACUCGACUAGGGACUUUUCCCGUAAAGAAUGAGCUUAUUCUGCUGUUGAGCCAGUUGCAUAGUGCUGUAGACUUUGGUACUUUACCGACUCGUACUUUGAAUGAGAAUUAUUUUGACUCAGAAAAUUUCUGAGGUGAUACUUUAGUGUUUAACUGUUAAAUAUGAUCUGAUAGUGGAUCAAUGCGGUGAUUAGGAGUCAUAGGGAUAUAUGCUUAAUGCGCCCAGAUACUCGAGAAGUCGAGUCUAGUUAAUCGCUCUAGAGCGAAUACAACACUAGCUUUUCAUUCGCAUUCGAGUUCCCGGGCUCGAACCUGGCGACUGGAGAAUUUUGACUUAGCCUGCUGGGGUCUUAUAGAGUCAAAUUCCAGUUUUUAAGUACUCGACUCGUUCGUCAAGAUUGCUUGAACUGGAAAUACGCAGCUGGUACGUUUACAGUCCCUAUAAGAAGCCUACGUGUCUUAUCUUCAUGUAAUGAACAUGGUUGCAGGGAGCGACCCUUAAGUGAAAGUUGUUACCUUCAUACAAUAAGUAUGGAUUUGACUUGAAAUAACGUAGCUGCUAUGUUUCCAGGCCCGUAAGAGAACUUUUGGGUCUUAUCUUUAUGCAAUGAGCAUGGAUCUACUGAAAUACGCAGCUGGUACGAUUUCAGGCUCUUUGGACGAGACUCAAGAGGCUUACUGUUAUGCGAAUGAGCAUAAAUAACUGAGGUGCCGUAGCUGGUGCGACUCAAUUGAGUCGAUUAUAUGAAAUCGACUGUCUUCUGCCAGGGUCAUUACCCUGUUUUUACUUUUGUGAAUAAAGAAUAAACAAUAGAUGACUAUAUGAAGUCUUUAAUAUAAAGCGACAACUGAUUAAUUCGCGACUUGAAUGAGAGUCUUUAGUAUUCAUAAUCGAGACUCAAGACGAGUCCCAACAUUCUUAUGAUACAACUCCACCUCCCUAUAUGGGAGAUAUGAGAGAUAGCUUUUGAGUCAUGAUAUUUGAGUCAGACUCCGUCACUGAUGACGUACCUGUUGAAGGUGAAGAGCCAUUGGGUCAACAGAUGUGACCGGGUGCACAGUCUAGCCUGACAGCUAGGUGUACUGUUGGCGUGCGUCAAUGGGAAAACGGUCACACUUCACGCAGUAAAUAUGGCAUAAUGAUUUUAUGAAUUCCUGCGCCCGAAAGAGGGGUGGCCGUUUCUGUUUUCACCGCUUCACAUCCCGGUCGAUGUGGGACACGUGGCCAAGAUAAAGAUCUUGCGGCCCGGAUUCUUCGGCCGGAUUUAGCCUAUAAAAGGAGGAAGGUGAAAAGGGAAUGCCUUUUACCCUUCUUCUUCCUCGCGAAAUCAGCUCAGGCGCUAGAGCUCUCUGCUUCCAUAGCCCAAAAACUGUUGCGAGUUCCUUCAACGACCAAGAAUCCCACACCAUCCAGAGAUGGGCAAGACCAAGACCGCGGGUUCUAAGACCGAUGCCGGCAAAAGAGAUGCCGGAAGGGAGUCGUUCCCUGGCCCGUGGUGGCCGACAAUCGCAUCAAGAUCCUGGAACUCCAGGACGUGGGAUUGUUGCCGGGGGGGGGGGGGGGGCUGAUGAGGUUCGCUUCCGGGCAAAGGAGGAGUACCCGCUACCGUUGCUAGGUGAGCGGGUUGUCUUCCUCGAUUAUGUGCUGCGAGGGCUCUCUUUUCCCCUUCAUGCCUUUUUCCAUGCUAUGCUGCUAGCCUAUGGGCUGCAGCUUCACAAUCUGCCCCCCAAUUCUUAUUUGCAUGUUGCGUGCUUCAUCACACUGUGCGAAUGCUUCUUGGGGGUGAGCCCUCAUUGGGGGCACUAGAAGCGGAUCUUUAUGAUCAAAAGCUAGAAGGUGGAGGCCGUUGGGAGCGUCAACUUCCAGGUACGGCCCGACACCAAAUACUUCUCCCUCCAGCAGCGCGAAUCUGUGCAAGGCUGGAGGUUGAAGUGGUUCUACAUCCGAUCUGACGCCCCGGGUGCCGAUCCAAGUCUUCUUGCCUUCUCAAUCAAGAAGAAGAAAAAGAAGACGGCGGCAUGGAGCCACGAACUGACGCCUGCAGAGGAGUCUGAGGCGACUCCCUUGAUGGCUAAGAUGCACUUCCUUAUGGGACAGGGGUUGACAGGUGUUCACCUGAUAGCUCUGUUCCUCAGGAUGAGGAUCCAGCCGCUGCAAGCUCGUGUUCACCCGAUGUGGUCCUUCGAAGGACCCGGGGAUCCCACUCGGGUGAAUGCGGAAGAACUAUAUUUGAACGAACUGGAGUCGCGGGUGCAAAGGUUAACGACCCUGAUCGACGUGACUCCAGGCAAGAUUGACUCGCGAGUAGUCGCUUUUGGCCCUGACAGGCCGAGGGAAAAGGUAAUUUAUAUUUCUGCCAUUUUGAGCUUGUAUUUGUAAGCUACUGAUCCGCUUGCUGGUUGUAGGGAUUCGAAGAUCCCUUGAGUCAACCUCCUCCUGCAUGGGAGGAGGAGCUGGCCGAUGAGUCCUCGGAGUCGCCGGAGCAGGCGAGCCACUCCGAGACUGAAGAGGUUGCCCUGGAGACGAGGAGGAAGCGCAGCAGGGAGUCAAACCCCAAGUCUGAUGAUCAGUCGACGGGUGUCGAGGGUCCCUCAUCUCCUCCUCUUGCAGCCAAAAAGACCAAGACAGGCGGCCCAGCGCCUUUUCGCCGAUUUGGCCUUCUUGGCCGAGUCACCCAGGCCAGGUAGGUGGUUCUUCAUACAUCAGCUCUCCAAAUAGUGCAAUCUAAAUACUGAACUAGCUGUUUUCCUUUGCCAGCUCUGUGGCCUCAGGUGACCAACCAACGACCCAGGCUAUUGAGCCCACUGGGUCGGACCCGAAAACUUCGGGUCCCUCAAUCGUCGUCGAGACGUUUGAGCCUCAGGUAUCGAUGCCUGAGGCGCCUUCUCCACUGAGUGUGGAGCAUCAACCCCAAAGGUUGUCCCGCUAGUUGACACACUUGGAGAGGCAUGGAGCCGGAACGGUUUCCUCGACUUCGGCUUGUCAUGUAAGUCUUGAGUCCUUUUGUCAAGUAAACUUCUUUUGUUAAAAUUUUUACUCUCCCGGUGGGAUUAUGAGUCAGAUGCUGACGUAAUCACUGUCGCAGCCGAUCAUCCGCUCCAUAACGGAGUUUGUUGAUCGCUAUGAUGCGGUGACGGCUGAGCGAGAUCAGCUUCGCCAAGACUUGGAGCGAAGCCAGCAAGAGCUGAGGUCUGCUCAAGGUAAUGCUUCCAGCUUAGUCUUUCUUUGAGUUGAAAAACUAUUGUGUCUUACUGUUUUGUCGUCUAGAUCUCCUUUCUCAGGCUAACUCCCUCAAAGACGCCGCCGAGCUUCAAUCCAAGAGCUUAGAGAAGAAGCUUGCUGAUCUGGCCAGGGAGUCGAAAGAGAAGCUAGAGGCUGAAAAACGCCUUGCCUAAGAAGCUUCGGGCGCCCUUCUCGCCAAGGAGGCCGAGAAGGAGAAGACGAGAUUCGUCCGACUCCAAGGAGUCAUUGGUCCCCUCACAGGUAAGAAUAUCGUAGUUGAAUCCACUCAUUUGGAUAUAUUGUUAACGCUUUGGCUCUUUUGCAGGCCUGGUUUCCUUGUCUGGUCUCCUACCUUCGAGUGAAAGUUCACUCGACCGGGUGAUUGACGCUGCGGCACGCGUCUGCUUUGGAGCGGCGACUGGAGUCCAGGGAACCUCCCGGGUGCUCACCAGUUUGUUCGGGAAGAUGUUUCUUGACGAGCCGGUGCCUGAAUCGCUAGGGAAACUCGUAGAGUUUUUCAGCGCUGACCUGGAUCCUAUGGACGAGUUUAGCCGGGUUCAGACCAACUCCGGUGCGGAGUCGACGUUCGUGUUAGCGUUAGCACACGGUGUCGGCGAGGACGUGUUGCGGAAGGUGGCUUUGGGCGUUCCCUUGUUACCUAGAGGGGAGGAGGUAGCUUUGACACCUUACUUCCAGCUCAGGGAAGAGCUGGCGGCCCAGCUGUCGGCUCAGCUGGGGAGCAUGGCAUCUAAGGGAGAGGUGGCUCUGCCAUCGUCCACUCCUGCGCCGAGCCAGGAGGUGGGCCAAGCUUGAGGCAUAGACUUCUUUAGGCUUUCUCCUGUCCUCUAUGUAUUUUCCCCCCUUUUUUUGUAUCGUUUUUGCUCGAAUGUCAGCAUUAUCAAUAAAGAAACAUCCUUGUUCCUUUGCACUGAUAUGAGUCGGACUCCUUCCUUUUAGUUAAGACUCGUGUCUUUGAAUCAUUUCAGGGACUGAAAAGGGGGUAUUUCUCUUCUGCAGCGGUAGAAACAGACCCCGACUUUGACAGUCGAGGUAGACACAGAGAGGGUUGUGACACCUAAGUCGAAUAUCGUGAGAGCCACGUUCUCGGCUUAGAUGCUCCCUUCAAAAACCUCGGAGUCGACAGCUCCAAAGGAGGUUCCUUCCCUGAAAUGAUUCAAAGACAAGACUCGAAGGGAACUAGAGUUCCUUCGUCGAUGCCUCCAAGAAGCCGAAAACCCGAGCCAAAAACUUGGCGAUGGAGAGUCGGAGAGCCGCGAGCGAGUUUCAGAUUACCAAGACCAAGUUGAAAGCGGCUGCCGCACGGGAAGAGUUUAUCUUCGAGGAGCUUCGCGGGCUGAGUUCUCAGCUUCAAUGUGACCCACUGCCUCCUUUUUGCUUGGAUCUUCUUCUUUUCGGCUUAUCCUUUACAAACAAGAGUUGUUUGCAGAUGUGCAAGCCGACCCGUGAGCUAAGCAAAAUCGGGUAAACAGUGCCCCGAACGCUCGUCAGACGAUCGAUCAUCAUUCUGGUCUGACCGAGCGAGGGUCAUGAGCUGAUGCUUUUGUGAGACCACAUAGAUAAGAAUAAAAGCUUCUUCAACUCCCACUUAGAGACUUUGAAGGCAAUUCAUCAGGCAUUCUGGCCCUUGGAGGAGGUGCCCCAAGAGCUGAGCAAGCUGACCCGAAAGCUUGGGUAAGAUAGCGUCUUUCGGGAGCUGAUGUACCGUCAGCUGGUCCGGGGGGCGAAGAUACUGUUAGAAAGGAAGUUCGACCCGUUGUCGGUGAUAAUGUUGUGAGGUACUCCAAAGCGGAAUACGAUGGAGUGAACGAAUGCGAUGGCAGUCAUUCCCGUGGCGUUUGUGAUGGGCAUUGACACUAUCCAUUUGGUGAACUUGUUGAUUGCGACAAGCAGAAAAGUAUGACCCCCUUCUUUUGAUCGUUGAAGUGGCCCGACCAUGUCGAGUCCCCAUUGAGCGAAAGGCCAAGCCAAUGGUAUUGUUUUGAGUUUGGAAGCCAGGCCAUGCGGCUUAGUUGCGAACAUCUGGCAGGCCACGCAUCGGGUGAUGAUGUCGUCGGCGUCCUGCAUCGCUGUCGGCCAGUAGAAGCCGGCUCGAAAAGGCUUUGCCGCAAUAGUGCGGCUGCUUGCAUGGUGACCGCAUGUGCCCUGGUGUAUGUCGAUCAAAAUCUCCCAUCCUUCCUCAGGUGGAAUGCACCGUUGAGGGACGCUGGAGAUGCUUCGCUUGUAGAGCUCACCUUCAAUGACGAUAAAAGCUUUAGACCGUCUAGCAAUUUGACGUGCUUCUGCGACGUCUGCAGGUAGCUCUUGUCGUAUCAUGUAUACAAGAAAGGGUUGCAUCCACGGCUCGACCAUGAGCACCUCAUCGGGUUCUUCUUCACCGGUUGCGACUGCAGGGUCGUCCGGUGAGUCAGGGUCGAGAGGUUUUUGCUCACCGUCGAUUAGUGUUGACUUCUUGGGACUCGAAGUAUUCUUUUCUUUGAUGGAUCUCUGGUGCAUGAUCUCUAGGAAUACUCCAGACGGGAUUGGGGAACGAGUCGAGCCGAUGUUGGCCAAACUGUCCGCUUCGUCAUUGCUGUUUCGGCCAAUGUGAUGCAGCUUGCAUCCGUCGAACUGGCCUUCCAGUACGUUGUAGAGAUCGCGAUAAACAAUCAUGGAAUCGGAGAUGGUGUCACACGACUUCAUCUGUUGCUGAACGACGAGGUAUGAGUCGUCGUAUCAUGAGCCUUGUGGCCCCGCAAGCUUUGGCCAUGCGCAUGACAUGCAAGAGGGCCUCGUACUCGGCUUCAUUGUUUGAAGGGUUUUGAAAAUGCAUCUGAAGCACGUAGCGGAGUCUAUCACCUUUGGGUGAAAUAAGCACAACACCCGUGCCUGCACCUUCAUGUCGCUUUGACCCAUCGAAAUACAUCGUCCAUGAGCUUGACAUGUCGGGCAGGCUCGGAGUCUGAGCCUCUGUCCACUCGGCAAUGAAGUCAGAGAGCACUUGUGAUUUGAUCAACUUCUGUCGUUCGUAGGUUAUGUUGCGAGCUGAGAGCUCGAUUCCCCACUUGGUGACUCGUCCCGUCGCUUCAGAGUUGUUCAAUAUGUUGACGAGAGGAGCCUCGCUGACAACCACAACUGUGUGUUGCUGGAAAUAGUGUCUUAACUUGCGUGCUGUUAGAAAGACUCCAUACGCAAGCUUUUGAUAGUGUGGGUAGCGUUGCUUUGUAGGCGAGGGGACCUCACUGAUGUAAUAGACUGGACGCUGAACACCGUGGGUCUUACCAUCUUCGGCUCGCUCAACUACAAUCGUUGUGCUGACCACCUGAGUGAUGGCUACGAUGUAUAAUAGGAGCUGCUCAUCUUCUUGUGGGGCGACGAGGAUCGGCGAGGUUGACAAUAGGUGCUUCAAGUUUGCGAAAGUAGCACUGGCCUCUGGCGUCCACGCGAAGUCGUCUUUCUUCUUUUUCAGAAGCUAGUAGAAAGGCAAGGCUUUCUCACCUAGCCUACCGAUGAAUCGGCUCAGGGCCGCGAGUCGACCGGUGAGCUGCUGGAGCUCAUGAAUUUUAGUCAGCUCCUUUAUGGUUAGGAUGGCUCUGAUUUUUGUCGGGUUUGCCUCAAUGCCUCGAGCCGACAGAAAGUGUCCAAGGAUUUUCCUGGCAGGUACUCCGAAGGUGCAGACGUGGCCUGCUGGCGCUGGAUACGACUCGACAGCAGCAAGUGUUUGCUCCGAAGAGUGGUUCAUUACCUCGACCAAGUUAGCCUGUAGUACGUGGGCCGAUGAGACUCCAAUGGCCGGACUCGCCGGUGUCGUCAUGACGGCCCUAUUGCUGGGGUAAUGAGGAUAACUCAUUUGUGAGUUUGUUUGUUGUGCUCUGGUGAGCUCGAGGUGUAACUCUUUGAAUCGUCUGCACUCCCGCAGGGGAUGGCUAGGGUUGAUGUUGCCCUGUUCAUCUUUGUAAACAUGGAAUGGGCAAGAGGCCAUCAACUGCUGAGAGAGCGUAGGUUGGCCUCCGUUGCAUCGCCACUGAGGCUUAGGCUCGCGGAUUUCGCCGCUGCGGUAACCCUCCACGUGCGAAGUGGCUGCGAUGAGAUCAGGCGAGGCUAGUUCUUCGUGUGUAGAAUAAUAGUUUUUGGUAUACUGUGUGCUAAGUAUUCUUUUCCUAUCAAUGAACUUUUCAUAAAAGAAUUCUCAUAAUAAAAUAUGAGAAUUCUUUUAUGAAAAGUGAAGUAUUCUUGCAAUAGGAUUUAAAACUUCCACCUAUCUUAUCCAAAAUCAUUGCUUUAAGGUUGGUAAAUCCUAUUAAUAAGAGCAUAAAAGCUUUCAUUCUAUAAAUUUGUCUAAAAUAAAAAAGGGUUUCUAUUUAAUCAUGAAAUUAAAAUGCAUAAAUAGAAAAGAGUUUUUGGAUUUUCUCCAUUGUAUCAAAAGAAUUUAAAAAAUGGAAACGAGAAACUAAUUAAAAAAAAAUUUCUUCUAUAUUCCAACUUAGAAAAAAGGAGUUCCAACUCUUUCAAGCAGUGUUUCUAUUAGGCAAAGCAAGAGUUUAUUGUAAAAAAAAUCGCAAUGAUACUACCAAACGAAGUCUAUUUAAAUGAAGACUCUAAUGUUCCUAAAUUUUAUGGACUUUCCCAAUCUGGACGGUUCGUGAGAUAAUAACUAUUAUUCUUUUAAGUUACCUAUUAUUUGAAGUUAGCCGCCAUGGUGAAAUUGGUAGACACGCUGCUCUUAGGAAGCAGUGCUCAAGCAUCUCGGUUCGAAUCCGAGUGGCGGCAUUCUCGAAAAAGAAUACAAUAGAUUAUAAAAUGGAUUCAAUUCGAAAUUUACAAUUUUGUAAUGGGACCUUCCCCUUAUGCUAUUUGCAACUUUAGAACAUAUACUAACUCAUAUUUCUUUCUCAACCAUUUCAAUUGUGAUUACGAUUCAUUUGAGAGCCUUAUUAGUUCGUGAACUUGGGGGAUUACGCGAUUCGUCAGAAAAAGGAAUGAUAGCUACUUUUUUCUCUAUAACAGGAUUCCUAGUUUCUCGUUGGCUUUCUUCGGGACAUUUUCCAUUAAGUAAUUUAUAUGAGUCAUUGAUCUUCCUUUCCUGGGCUCUGUAUAUUCUUCAUACGAUUCCUAAGGUACAGAACUCUAAAAAUGAUUUAAGCACAAUAACUACGCCAAGUACUAUUUUAACGCAAGGCUUUGCCACGUCAGGUCUUUUAACUGAAAUGCAUCAAUCCACAAUACUAGUACCCGCUCUACAAUCUCAGUGGUUAAUGAUGCAUGUCAGUAUGAUGUUACUAAGCUAUGCAACUCUUUUGUGUGGAUCUUUAUUAUCUGCCGCUAUUCUAAUCAUUAGAUUUCGAAAUAAUUUCAAUUUUUUUUCUAAAAAGAAUAAAAAUGUUUUAAAAAAAACAUUUUUAUUUAGUAAGAUGGAAUAUUUCUAUGCAAAAAGAAGUUAUUUUAAAAGCGCCUCUGUUCCUUCAUUUCCAAAUUAUUACAAAUAUCAAUUAACUGAGCGUUUGGAUUCUUGGAGUUAUCGUGUGAUUAGCCUAGGAUUUACCCUUUUAACCAUAGGUAUUCUUUGUGGAGCAGUAUGGGCCAAUGAGGCGUGGGGAUCCUAUUGGAAUUGGGAUCCUAAAGAAACUUGGGCUUUUAUUACUUGGACCAUAUUCGCAAUUUAUUUACAUAGUAGAACAAAUCAAAAUUGGAAGGGUACGAAUUCCGCACUUGUAGCUUCGAUAGGAUUCCUUAUAAUUUGGAUCUGCUAUUUCGGUAUCAAUCUAUUAGGAAUAGGUUUACAUAGUUAUGGUUCGUUUACAUUAACACCUAAUUGAUUACAUAAAAUAAAACCUUCAUUUCAUUAAGGUUUUUACUUUUUCGUUUUAUUUGAGAACCCCUUGAGCGCCUUCUCAAAGGGUUCUCAAAAAUGCGAGAUAGAUCUAAUUAGACUUUUUUAUUUUUUUUUCUCCAUUAAUAGAGCGGGCUAGUUAAAAAAACCUAUUUAGGGUAAUAAUUGGAUAAGAGAGCCUCCACCCUGUCAACGGAUAGGGAGAGAACAAAAUCUGGAUAAAUACCAAUUCCUAUUACUGGUAAAAAGAUACAGAUUAAAAGAAAGAGUUCUCGUGGUCCAGAAUCCAUAAAAUUUGCGUUUGGAACAUUAAAUAGUUUGUAUCCAUAGAACAUCUGGCGUAACAUAGAUAAUAAAUAAAUAGGAGUUAAUAUCAUUCCAAUUGCCAUUACAAAAGUAAUUAGCGUUUUUGGCAUUAACAGAAAUUUUGGACUAGUAAUUAGUCCAAAAAAUACUAAUAAUUCUGCGACAAAACCGCUCAUUCCUGGUAAUGCAAGAGAAGCCAUUGAAAAGCUACUAAACAUGGUAAAAAAUUUCGGUAUUAGAAUAGAUAUCCCCCCCAGUUCUUCGAGAUAAACAAGACGCAUUCUAUCACAAGCCGUUCCUGCCAAGAAAAAAAGUGUAGCGCCAAUAAAUCCGUGGGAUAAUAUUUGUAAAAUAGCUCCAUUGAGUCCAAUGUUGGUUAUGGAACCAAUUCCUAUAAUUAUGAAACCCAUGUGAGAUACAGAGGAAUAGGCUAUUCUUUUUUUGAAAUUUCGUUGACCAAGAGAAGUUGAGGCUGCAUAGAUUAUUUGGAUCGCUCCUAUUAUUACCAACCAGGGCGAAAAUAGAUAAUGAGCAUGAGGUAACAAUUCCAUGUUGAUACGAAUCAACCCAUAUGCUCCCAUCUUUAAUAGGAUUCCCGCUAAAAGCAUACACGUACUAUAAUGUGCUUCCCCAUGGGUAUCUGGUAACCACGUAUGGAGGGGUAUAAUCGGCAAUUUGACAGCAUAAGCAAUAAGGAAGCCAAAAUAUAAAAGUAUUUCCAAGGUUGCAGGGUAUGAUUGAUUAAUUAAUCUUUCCAAAUCUAAUCCCGGUUCGUUGGAACCGUACAAGCCCAUACCCAGAACUCUAAACAAAAAAAGGAUUUCCAAAAUAGAUCAUAGAUAAUUCUAACAAUUGCCAAUAAAUCCCGGCUUUUUACCAAGUUGAUGGUAAGAAAUCCCGGGACCUAGAAAUUCAUUUCGUACAAUUGAACCUUUUCAAACUGUUUCUUUUUGAGAACCAAAAAAACUUGUGCCAAAAUAACGGAUGCGAAGAAGAACAAAAGGCCUUGGACGCGUAAUGGAUCCUGAAGCACUAUUUCUGCAUCCCCCUGACCAAAUCCUCCCACAUUGGGAUUACUUGUUAAUGGUUGAUCAAGCUUGAUGGAUUCCCCCUCUGAAACAAGAAGUUCUGGCCCGGGAGGUAUAAUAUCAAUCAAUUGGCGUCCAUCCGAUGCAUCCACUAUGGAUAUUUCAUACCCCCCUUUUUCUUUACGUAGUAUUUUUUUUACUAUACCUGUUGACGUAGCAUUAUAGACCGUAUUGUUACUCUUGCUACCAUCAGGAUAGAUCUGCCCUCUUCCUCGGUUUCCCCCUACAUAUAUGGGAUAUUUUAAGAAAUGAGCAUCUUUCUUCGUAGCAGGAUCAGGGGAAAGAAUGGGAAAGACAAUUUCACUAUAUUUCUUACCGGGAACAGGGCCUAUCACAAGAAUAUUUUUUUUAUCGGGACGAUAACUCUGAAAAGAGAGAUUUCCUAUCUUUUCUUUCAACUCAGGGGAAAUACGGUCGGGCGGCGCUAAUUCGAAUCCCUCGGGCAAAAUAAGAACAACACCCACAUUUAACCCUCCCUUUUUCCCAUUAGCAAGAACUUGUUUCAGUUGCAUAUCAUAAGGAAUUCGGAGAACUGCUUCAAAUACAGUAUCGGGAAGCACAGCUUGGGGAACUUCAAUAUCCACGGGCUUGCUAGCUAAAUGGCAAUUGGCGCAUACAAUUCGUCCAGUUGCUUCUCGUGGGUUUUCAUAACCCUGCUGCGCAAAAAUGGGAUAUGCAUUUGAAAUAGAUGUCCGAGUUAUUACGUAUAUCAUGAUCGAUACAGAAAUCGAUCGAGUCAUCUGUUCCUUUACCCAAGAAAAAGUAUUUCUAUUUUCCAUGUCCAAUCGCAGAUCCCAGAAUUUCUACAAUAAAUUAGAUAGGUAGCUAAGCUAAUCUAGUUCCCUAUACACGAGUCUGUUGUCAUUCUACUGCAACAGUUGUACCGGAAUGAUGAAUACCUUUAAGCAGGUAGAAAUAGAAAGAAUUUUGCUAAAAUGGAAAGGGGCCUUUUUCUAAAGAAAGAAAGAUGCUAAUUUGAUUAAUAUCAGGAGAUCAAAUGAAUUUAUGCUUCACUAAUUGAAUGAUAAAUGACUACAAGCGAAGGGGAUAGACGGUUUAAACAAAAAAAGACCCAAAAUUUCAAACAUGUAUCUAGAAUUACUGGAAAACUACAAACAAAAAUAGUAAAAAUUAGCUCGUUAGGAGCCCAUCCAAGAUCGUUGUAGACCCAACGAAUGACUAGUUCCCAACCCCGGGUGGAGUGAAAUCCAACAAAAAAAUCAGUAACCAAAAGGAUAAAAAAAGCUUUUAUUGAGUCAUUUAAGUUAUGGAAGAAUUCCUGAACCCAAGAAUUCCAAAUGACAAGUUCCUCUUUACCAAAAAAAAAAAGAACUACUUAGAAUAGCCAAACAGAUUAUAUUUGUCGAGAAAUGCAAAAUGAUAUGGAGAUGAUCUUCAUUAUCUAUUUUGACCCAUUGUAUUAUUUCCUUGUGUAUUCCUAUAGGAGGUUUUUGUACAUGUGUCUUUGGUUUCUCUUUUAUCAUCUCGUCCAAGAGAGAAAGUUCUUCUAAUUCUAUGAAUCUUUCUAGAAUCCUUUUCUCUUGAAUAUCAGUUAAGAGAGUUUCAGAUUGUCUGGUAUUCCACCAAUUCUUAAUCCAAAGUUCCAGACAUUUGUUAACUGAGAAAGAGGCCCCCCAGGGCAAAAGUACGAUAAAUACAAGAUAUAGUAAAGAAGGCAAUGCUUUCUUUUUUUUCAUUUUUGAUCUAUAAAUUGAGUUGUUAAUGAAUCCGCUUCAUUCGCUGACUCUAUGAUGAUAUUUUUUUUUCUUUGAAGCAAAAACUCUAUAGCAAGGUUUGAGACCCUGUAUCUAUUCUUCUUUUUUGUAUUGUAUAUUAGUGGAAUUUCAUUGCAUUGGGUUCUUUCUUAUAUCUAGAUGGAGUGGAAUAGAAAAAAAGAUGAAAAUGGAAAGAAUAGUAUGCCAUAUAUCCCACUUGGGCAAAAUAAAUUUAAAGAAAUUUUAUCUUAUCCUCGUUUGUUCCUUCCUUUAGAUAAAUACUAAAAAAGCCCCUUACAAUACAAUAACAAAUCAAAUUUCGGAGGGACUUCCUCCCCAUGUUGAGAAAACUUUUCUUCUUCCAAUUCUUCUUCAUUCUAUUCAGUUCCAAAAAAUACAAUGGAUAUUCAAAAUACUUCAAUUGGUACGCGCAAGAAAUAGGCCAAUUCGGCAGCUUUUUGUUCAAUUUCUCGUGGAGUAAAAAACUUAUCAUCAGUACGAGUCAAGGGAAUGACCCCCUGGCCCCGGAUUUCCAUAUAAAGGAUACGACGAGGAUAAAAACCCUCUUUAACCUGAAUUCUAAUUGAUUGGAUAUCCCGCAUAAGGAAUCGAAGGAAGACGCGACGUUUUAUUCCAGGGAAUCCCCAACGAAAAAUGCACACGAUUCCCUCUUUUCUAUCGAAUCGGUCAUAACCACUACCUACAUUCCACAAAAUAGCACACCACAAGUAGGAGCUAAUGAAUAAGCCCGCGAUUCCGUAGAAAGACAUCACGACUCCCUGCGGAAAAAAAAGAAUUUGUUGAGAUGGAAGUAUAGAUAUCAUAUUCUUACCAAGAUAACUGGAAACCCCAACUGAUAAGAAUCCUAGUGAACCUAGAAAAAGAAUAGAGGCCCAGAAAAAAUUACCCCUUUUUCGAGAACCUUUUAGAAGUUCUACCCAUAUGUGUUCUGAUCGCCAAUUCAUAUUAGAUAUACUAAAUCCAGCAGCAGUCGAUUGAAAUUGAGAGAAUAAGCUAAAUGAUUUUGACUUUACUUUUUUUGAUUCUGAAAUCGCCUUCAGCAACGAGUACUCUUGUGAAAUAAUAGGUUAGAUACACUGACUUUCUAUUCAAAAAAUAUUCGUUGAUUCAAUUAAAAUAAAAAUAGCUAUACCCGGCUCCGCAUAUUCAUGCAUUUAUGCUUGUAGCCUAUAUCCGCAUCCAUAGCCGUUUUUCAUUUGUGUGUAGAAAGAGCCACAUACCCUACCAUAUUCUAUUACUUACACUUACUUACACUAAAAAAAUACUAGACAAUCUUAUUUUUCUGCACAUAAAGAAAUAAAGAAGCCAUUGCAAUUGCCGGAAAUACUAAGCCUACUAAAGGCACGAAAAUCGAAGGUAAGUUUAAAUCCGUCAUAGAAUAGGUGUCUCAAUUCAAAUUAACUAUUUCUAUCUAUUCGAAAAAUGUCUUAAGAUUCUUAUGAUAUAAUUAAGUAUAUCUAUUAUGAGUAAUAUUGACUAUUGUAUUUUUUAGUUUGCAAAAAAAAAAAAAUUUUAUAGAAGACUUUUUUUCUGUAAAUACUGCGUAUUUGAUUCUAUUAUCAUAUGAUAAUAGUAUAUUUGAUUUGUAUUUAUUUAUUAUACCUUUAUAUAUUCUAGAUAUAUAGAAUAGGCGAAUCUCGAUUUGUGAAGUCUCAUGAUCGUAUCAUGAUCCAUUUUUAUUCGGCUCAAUCUUUUUUUUUAGAAAAAAAAAGAUUGAGCCGAGUUUAAUUGCAGUCAAUUAGAAGAAUAAAGAAGAAUUACUGCAUUUCGUAACUUAUUUUUUCUCUUUUUAUUUUGUUUCUUUUUAUUUAGACCUUCUUCAUAUUUAGUUUUAUCUACUAAUCGAUAGUAUCUACCGGCGCGAACUCGAAUUUGAUCGCCUUCCAUACUUCACAAGCUGCGGCUAGUUCAGGACUCCAUUUGCAAGCUGCUCGGAUAAUUUCAUUACCUUCACGAGCAAGAUCGCGCCCUUCGUUACGAGCUUGUACACAGGCUUCUAAAGCCACUCGAUUAGCUGCUGCACCAGGUGCAUUUCCCCAAGGAUGUCCUAAAGUUCCUCCACCAAAUUGUAAUACAGAAUCAUCCCCAAAGAUUUCGGUCAGAGCUGGCAUAUGCCAAACAUGAAUACCACCUGAAGCUACUGGUAUAACACCUGGCAUGGAUACCCAGUCCUGAGUGAAAAAGAUACAGCGAGCACGAUCUUUUUCAAUAAAAUCGUCGCGCAAUAAAUCAACAAAACCUAAAGUGAUUUCGCGUUCCCCUUCUAACUUACCUACUACUGUACCGGCGUGGAUAUGAUCUCCCCCAGACAUACGCAAUGCUUUAGCUAAUACACGGAAAUGCAUACCAUGAUUUUUCUGUCUAUCAAUAACUGCAUGCAUUGCACGGUGAAUGUGAAGAAGUAAGCCAUUGUCGCGGCAAUAAUGAGCCAAAGUAGUAUUUGCGGUGAAUCCCCCAGUUAAGUAGUCAUGCAUUACAAUAGGAACACCUAAUUCUCUCGCAAAAACAGCUCUCUUCAUCAUUUCUUCACAUGUACCCGCAGUUGCAUUCAAGUAAUGCCCCUUGAUUUCACCGGUUUCCGCCUGUGAUUUAUAAAUAGCUUCGGCACAAAAGACAAAACGAUCUCUCCAGCGCAUAAAUGGUUGUGAGUUUACGUUUUCAUCAUCUUUGGUAAAAUCAAGUCCACCACGUAGACACUCAUAACACGCUCUACCGUAAUUUUUUGCAGAUAAUCCCAAUUUUGGCUUAAUAGUACAUCCCAAUAAAGGACGACCAUACUUGUUCAACUUAUCUCUUUCCACUUGGAUACCGUGAGGCGGGCCUUGGAAAGUUUUUGAAUAAGUAGGGGGAAUUCGUAGAUCCUCCAGACGUAGAGCACGUAGGGCUUUGAAACCAAAUACGUUACCUACAAUGGAAGUAAACAUGUUAGUAACGGAACCCUCUUCAAAUAGAUCUAAUGGAUAAGCUACAUAACAGAUCCAUUGACUGUCUUCCCCAGGAACAGGCUCGAUGUGAUAGCAUCGUCCUUUGUAACGAUCAAGACUAGUAAGUCCAUCAGUCCAAACAGUUGUCCAUGUACCAGUAGAAGAUUCGGCAGCUACUGCAGCCCCUGCUUCUUCGGGCGGAACCCCAGGUUGAGGAGAUACUCGGAAUGCUGCCAAGAUAUCAGUAUCCUUGGUUUCAUACUCCGGGGUGUAGUAAGUCAAUCUAUAAUCUUUAACACCAGCUUUAAAUCCAACACUUGCUUUAGUUUCUGUUUGUGGUGACAUAAGUCCCUCCUUACAACUCUUGAAUUAAGAAUUCUCACAAUAACAAGGUCUACUCGAUGUGAAUUAGGCGUAAAUGAAACUUUAGCAAAAAUCUCAUAAAAAAAAAGAGAUAUUCAAUUAAUAGCAACUCAUUACAGAAAAUUGAGGGCAUGCUUAAGUUAAUUAAUAUUUUUCAUUCAUAUAUAAUGCGUAUACCCUGUGUAUGUUCUAUCCUAUAGGAAUUUCACUAUAGGAAUUCGAUAGGAAUUGAGUUGUUGUUAUGGUAAGUUAACACCGUUCGUUAUUAAACCAAGGAUUUGAUUUAACAAAUCCAUCAUUAUUGUAUACUCUUUGAUAGAUAUAGCGCAACCCAAAUCAAUCCUUAACCUUUUUUUUUACAAAUUAUUAAAGGGCCCCUUUCUUAUUUUGAAAAGAAAUACCUAACUAAAUACUAAGAAAAUUUUCUGUUGACAGCAAUCUAUGCUUCACAGUAGUAUAUAUUUUGUAUAGCGAAGUCCUAGAUAGGAAAGUAGAGUAGGCACAGAUCCUCCACAAAAGGAAAAAUCUAUCUUAUGAAAAAAAGAUUGAUUGAACUUUCCAACGGCCUCAUUCCAUGAGUAAAGGGUUGAAAGGGAUUCGCUUGGGCAAUGAAAUCAAGUCCUGUUCCCCUUUUUUCUCUUAUUGAAUUAACUAAUUGAUUUCCUUUUUACUUUUGGAUUUUUGGAUAUUUUUUUGGAUUUGGUAUUAUUCAACAAGAAAAAAAUAAAAAUUUCGACAAAUUCCUUUUUUUUUUAUUAUGUGAUAAUUAUGAGAACCAAUCCUACUACUUCUCGUCCCGGGGUUUCCCCAAUUGAAGAAAAAAGUACAGGCCGUAUCGAUCAAAUUAUUGGACCCGUGCUGGACGUCACUUUUCCCCCCGGUAAGUUACCUUAUAUUUAUAACGCUUUGGUAGUCCAGAGUAGAGACACUGCCGAUAAGCAAAUUAAUGUGACUUGUGAGGUACAACAAUUAUUAGGAAAUAAUCGAGUUAGAGCUGUAGCUAUGAGUGCUACAGAUGGGUUGAUGAGAGGAAUGGAAGUGAUUGACACAGGAGCUCCUCUCAGUGUUCCGGUCGGCGGAGCUACUCUCGGGCGAAUUUUCAACGUUCUUGGGGAGCCUGUUGACAAUUUGGGUCCUGUAGAUAGUAGUGCAACGUUCCCUAUUCAUAGAUCUGCGCCUGCCUUUAUCGAGUUAGAUACGAAAUUAUCCAUCUUUGAAACAGGUAUUAAGGUCGUCGAUCUUUUAGCUCCUUAUCGACGUGGAGGAAAAAUAGGACUAUUUGGGGGGGCUGGAGUAGGUAAAACAGUACUCAUCAUGGAAUUAAUCAACAACAUUGCUAAAGCUCAUGGGGGCGUAUCCGUAUUUGGUGGAGUAGGGGAACGGACUCGUGAAGGAAAUGAUCUUUAUAUGGAAAUGAGGGAAUCCGGAGUAAUUAAUGAAAAAAAUAUUGAGGAAUCAAAGGUAGCUCUAGUCUAUGGCCAAAUGAAUGAACCACCGGGAGCUCGUAUGAGAGUUAGUUUAACUGCCCUAACUAUGGCGGAAUAUUUCCGAGAUGUUAAUAAGCAAGACGUGCUUUUAUUCAUCGAUAAUAUCUUUCGUUUUGUUCAAGCAGGAUCGGAGGUAUCCGCUUUAUUAGGGAGAAUGCCCUCCGCGGUGGGUUAUCAACCUACUCUUAGUACAGAAAUGGGUUCUUUGCAAGAAAGAAUUGCUUCUACUAAAAAGGGAUCUAUAACUUCGAUCCAAGCGGUUUAUGUACCUGCGGACGAUUUGACUGACCCUGCUCCUGCCACAACAUUUGCCCAUUUGGAUGCUACUACCGUACUUUCCAGAGGAUUAGCUUCCAAGGGUAUUUAUCCAGCAGUAGAUCCUUUAGAUUCAACCUCAACUAUGUUACAGCCUCGGAUCGUUGGCAACGAACAUUAUGAAACUGCGCAAAGUGUUAAGGAAACUUUACAACGUUACAAGGAACUUCAGGACAUUAUCGCAAUUCUUGGAUUGGAUGAAUUAUCGGAGGAGGAUCGUUUAACUGUAGCAAGAGCGCGAAAAAUUGAGCGUUUCUUAUCACAACCGUUCUUUGUAGCAGAAGUUUUUACUGGUUCUGCAGGAAAGUAUGUUGGUCUUGCAGAAACAAUUAGGGGAUUUCAACUAAUCCUUUCCGGAGAAUUAGAUGGCCUACCCGAGCAGGCUUUUUAUUUGGUGGGUAACAUCGAUGAAGCUAGCACGAAAGCUAUAACCUUAGAAGAGGAGAACAAAUCGAAGAAAUGAAAUUAAAUCUUUAUGUACUGACUCCUAAGCGAAUUAUUUGGGAUUGUGAAGUGAAAGAAAUCAUUUUAUCCACUAAUAGUGGUCAAAUUGGGGUAUUACCAAACCAUGCCCCCAUUAACACAGCAGUAGAUAUGGGUCCUUUGAGAAUACGCCUCCUCAAUGACCAAUGGUUAACGGCGGUUCUGUGGAGCGGUUUUGCGAGAAUAGUUAAUAAUGAGAUCAUUAUUUUAGGAAAUGAUGCGGAACUGGGUAGUGAUAUUGAUCCGGAAGAAGCUCAACAGGCACUUAAAAUAGCCGAAGAUAACUUGAGUAAAGCUGAGGGUACGAAAGAAUUGGUUGAAGCGAAACUAGCUCUCAGACGAGCUAGGAUACGAAUCGAGGCUGUCAAUUGGAUUCCCCCAUCCAAUUGAAGACAAUCCAAUGGUUUAUAGUUGAUACAAAGAUAAAGGGAAGAGGGGUAGAAAAAGUUAUUAGAUAGCGAAGCGAAAUAAGCCCAAUGCUAUCUAGUAAUUUUUCUACCUACCUACCUACUAUUGGAUUUGAACCAAUGACUCCCGCCGUAUGAAAGCAAUACUCUAACCACUGAGUUAAGUAGGCAAUUUAUGAUCACAAAGGAAGACCCAUUACUUCGAUCGAUUAUAUAUCGAAUCCCUUUUCUAAGCAAUAACGCUUCCUUAUUGGUAUGUUAUAUACUAAACAGAUACAUAUUUAAAGAGAUACCCUCUGGCAUUAGAGAAUAUUCAUCUUGACAAUAAAUUAUCUAUAUGUUAAGAUAUCUCUGAUAAGGGCUAUAGCUCAGUUCGGUAGAGCAACUCGUUUACACGUGCGCCAAUGCUUUUCAAAGGAGCUUAUUAUGCAAUGAAUAUUUUGGAUCUUAUUGCAAAAUCAAUGUCUUACUUCAUAGAUUCGACAGAAUAGGAGAACAGUAGCCUGACAAAGAGUCAGUUCAGUCCGAUUCAGGUCCCCAUUCUGGUGCCUAAUCAAAUCGAACCCUUAUGGAUUUGCUAGUUGAUAAGGUAAAUAUCCAGCCCACUAAAUGCUAGGCGUAAUGAGGAUAAGGGCCUCCAAAAAACUUCUUUUCGUUCUAUGAACUUUAAGGUGUAUGAAGUCUCAUAGUUAACUCUUGCAGUGGAACGAUAGAGACUCCAUUUCACUUAGGUUGAUUUAAUUUAGGCCGGAGGCAGACCUAAGUCAAGGUAAUCCUCCUUUGAAACACUUUGGUAUUGCUCCUAGAUAGACCAUAAUACAAAUAAUCAAUCAGAGCACAGGGAGCCAUCUCAUUAUCUUUCCGUAAAGAAAAACUAUGGUGGACUAACUGAUCUUUAAAUCAGUUGAUGAAAGAGCCCAAUGCAAAAAAAUGCAUGUUGGGUCUUUGAAACAGUUCGAAUCAUUUCGAUAAUAAUCUGUUUGAUCUGUUUUACCGAGAAGGUCUACGGUUCGAAUCCGUAUAGCCCUAAUAUGUCCUAUUUUUGGAUUUUAGUAUAGAUAUCCUAUGUUUUCCUUAGUAUAGCUUUUAUUUUCACAUUAGUACUUGUUUAUAGACUGGGCGGGCGCCUGCGACAUAGAAUAGGCGUAAAAGCAUUACCACAGGCUCAUUCAUCAAAAAUCAUAGAGAUAAGAAACGAAAAAGUGAUUUCUAUCAAAUCAAUAGAAGAAAAGAGCCCUUCCCUGAUUUGAAUCCCGCCCUUCUUCAAAUAGGGUAUCUCUAGACUUCCCUAUAAAAACUGCAAUGAUUUUCUCCAUCUUGCGAAUUUAUACUUUGUUUUAAGUAUAUUACUUUGCUUAUAUAUACAUUAUCUAAAUCGAUCUACUUAAAAUCCUAAAUAGAAAAAAAAAUAGAAAGAAUUAAAGUAAAGAGUAAAUAAGAAAACAGAAUAUUAUGUCUCAUAGUUCUGAAAUAGAGUUCCUUAUUUUUUUAUAGUAUUACUUCUCAGUCUACUGCAUAGACUAGUCCUCUUAUGUUAAUUAGGUUCUAAAGAUUAUAGAGAAAGCAAAAUAAAGUGAAGGGAUAAAGUAUUUUUUAUAUAAGAAUUAGAUCUAUACCAUAUCUAAAUAGAAUGGAAAAAAAAGAAGGGGAGUUGGGAUUCCAUUGGAUGAAUCUUUAAAGAAGACACAGCACAGAGAAAACAAAGGCUAAACUAAGCGAUUUUGUUUGAACAAAACAGAUUCUUGUUUCACCGAGGAAAAGAGAUAAGUUCUGGAUGAAUUGACAAUGCAUAAUUGAAUUGAUUAAUUUAAGUCUCGUCUAUUCUACAUUAAUGGGAGUACAUUAUGUUUCUGCUUCACGAAUAUGAUAUUUUUUGGACAUUUCUAAUAAUAGCAAGCCUUAUUCCGAUUUUGGCAUUUUGGAUUUCAGGGCUUUUAGCCCCGAUUAGUGAAGGACCCGAAAAGCUUUCUAGUUAUGAAUCGGGUAUAGAACCCAUGGGAGGGGCUUGGCUACAAUUCCGAAUACGCUAUUACAUGUUUGCGCUAGUUUUUGUUGUUUUUGAUGUGGAAACCGUCUUUCUCUACCCUUGGGCAAUGAGUUUCGACGUAUUGGGUGUAUCCGUUUUUAUCGAAGCUUUCAUUUUCGUGCUUAUCCUAGUUGUUGGUUUAGUUUAUGCAUGGCGAAAAGGAGCCUUGGAAUGGUCUUAACUGAAUAUUUAGAAAAAAAAAAAGAAGAAAAAGAUUCCAUUGAGACAGUUAUGAGUUUGAUUGAGUUUCCUUUACUUGACCAAACAAGUUCCAAUUCUGUUAUUUCAACUACACCAAACGAUCUUUCAAAUUGGUCAAGACUCUCCAGUUUAUGGCCCCUUCUAUACGGUACCAGUUGUUGUUUCAUUGAAUUUGCUUCAUUAAUAGGCUCGCGAUUCGACUUUGAUCGUUAUGGAUUGGUACCAAGAUCAAGUCCUAGGCAAGCGGACCUAAUUUUAACAGCUGGUACAGUAACAAUGAAAAUGGCUCCUUCUUUAGUGAGGUUAUACGAGCAAAUGCCUGAACCAAAAUACGUCAUUGCUAUGGGAGCUUGUACUAUUACAGGGGGAAUGUUCAGUACGGAUUCCUAUAGUACUGUUCGAGGAGUUGAUAAGUUAAUUCCUGUGGAUGUCUACUUGCCGGGUUGCCCACCUAAACCGGAGGCGGUUAUAGAUGCCCUAACAAAACUUCGUAAGAAGAUAUCGCGAGAAAUAGUUGAGGAUCGAAUUCGAUCUCAAAAUAAAAACCGAUGUUUUACUACCAGUCACAAGCUUUAUGUUCGGCGCAGUACUCAUACUGGAACUUACGAGCAAGAAUUGCUCUAUCAAUCACCAUCUACUUUAGAUAUAUCUUCUGAAAAUUUUUACAAAUCCAAAAGUAUAGUACCUUCCUACAAAUUAGUGAAUUAGGAGGGGGGUUCUUUUGUCUAGAAAAAUAAAAAGCAAGGCAAUCUUUGAAACUUGCAUCCGAAAUGUGAAAUAUUUAUACAAAACAAAGAGGGAGAGAUCAAGACAAUGCAGCAGGGUUGGUUAUCUAAUUGGCUAGUCAAACAUAAGGUGGUUCAUAGAUCUUUGGGCUUUGAUCACCGAGGAAUAGAGACUUUACAAAUAAAAGCGGGGGAUUGGGAUUCCAUUGCUGUCAUUUUAUACGUAUAUGGUUACAAUUAUUUACGCUCCCAAUGUGCUUAUGAUGUAGCACCCGGUGGAUCUUUAGCUAGCGUGUAUCAUCUUACGAGAAUACAGUAUGGCAUAGAUAACCCAGAAGAAGUAUGCAUAAAAGUCUUUGCCCAAAAGGAUAAUCCUAGAAUUCCGUCUGUCUUCUGGAUUUGGAGAAGUGCCGAUUUUCAAGAACGCGAAUCUUAUGAUAUGGUGGGAAUCUCUUAUGAUAAUCAUCCGCGCCUUAAACGUAUCCUAAUGCCUGAAAGUUGGGUAGGCUGGCCCUUACGUAAGGACUAUAUAACCCCCAAUUUCUAUGAAAUACAAGAUACUCAUUGAAUGAUAAGAAAUUCAUGCGGACUUAUACAACACAACUCCAGAUUUUAUUCAAGUAAAGGAAAAUUUUUACGUUCUGUUCCUAGAUGAAACGGAAUACCUAUUUCGAAUUAAUUCCUAUUAUACAAAAGUAGUCCAGAUAGACUGAGCAAAAAAAGGGUUUCAUUUGGAUUCCCUUAUUUGGAAAAUCACAUAUGAAUUUCCCUCAUAUGAACAGAAAAAUAUGAUGACUCAAAGAAGUUCUCUACCACGAACUUUGUAUCGCGCGCAUGACUUAGCACAAUUGGAAAAGUAAGAUAAGCAAGAAUAAAAAAAUAUUCGUCGUAAUAUGCAGAAUACAAAAUUAAGAAAUGCAAAAAAAAAUAAAGGGGAACCUAAUCUCACCUCCUUCUGUACCAUAAAGAAAAGAACCAGAGAUUUUUACCCUUCUCUAAAAAGAAAAAGAAGUGCCUCUAUAUUAGAGACUUAUCCACCUAGAUGAAUAAAUCAGACUUUAUUUAUAGUAUUAACGAAUAUGUAUCCUAAUCCAUCUUGAGGCAUUUUUAUCAAAACCUAUUCGGUAGAUCUUUUUUUUCUCUGCCAGGAACCAGAUUUGAACUGGUGACACGAGGAUUUUCAGUCCUCUGCUCUACCAACUGAGCUAUCCUGACCUUUUCUUGUGCAUCAUCCUAGUAGAGUAUUUGUAUCUAUGUCAAUUAAAGGGACUCAAAAAUCAAUUAAAGUAUUUCAAAUUCCAAAUUGAAAAAUGGGGGGGUGGUCCUAUGCAUUGUGCAUGGAUUACUUAAUAAUACUUAAAAAUAGAGUUAAUAACCGAGAGUCCUUGCGGAUACUCUAAUAAAAAAGAAAUCUAUUCAAUGAAUAGGAUAAGAUCCAUUGAGUUCUCUUCGCACUCCUUUGUGAAAGAGUAGAAUGAGAAAGCUAAUGAAUCUUAAACCCAUUGAUAAAAAGAAAAAAAGAGGAUAAAAGUUAGGGAAUAAAAGAGGAUAGUUGGGGAAUAAAAAGGAUUUGGGGAUAGAGGGACUUGAACCCUCACAACUUAUAAAGUCGACGGAUUUUCCUUUUACUCGAAAUUUCAUUGUUGUCAGUAUUGACAUGUAGAAUGGGACUCUCUCUUUGUCCUCGUCCGAUUAAUCCACUUUUUAAAAGAUCUCAAGUACUUUGAAUUGAAGGAUUUGAUUACUCAAGAUUCAAUUAGAAUGGAUUCACAAUAAUUCUAAAAAAUUUAUUAAUUUUUUAUUUCAUAAUCCUUCCUAAUUUCAUUCUAAAAAAGAAUAAAGAACCUAUGUUAUACUUGGAUUCUGUGAUUAAUCGUUUACUAUGUUAGUAUCUAUACGUGUUUAUUAGAUGUAAAAAUCCCUUCUUUCUCUAAUUUAAAAGGAUUUCCACUACCAAAACAACCUAAAUAAAUUAACUCGAUUCGUUAGAACAGCUUCCAUUGAGUCUCUGCACCUAUCCUUUUCCUUUGGAUUCUAGUUCGAGAACCCCUUGUUUUCUCAAAACACGGAUUUGGCUCAGGAUUGCCCUUUUUUAAUUCCAGGGUUUCUCUGAAUUUGGAAGUUAACACUUAGCAGGUUUCCAUACUAAGGCUCAAUACAAUCAAGUCCGUAGCGUCUACCGAUUUCGCCAUAUCCCCAUUUUCCUUUUUUUUUGAGACCUGGAUUCCUUGCGUAAUUUCAUCCAUCUCUUAGUUUUUUUGGAAUCGUUGAAUUCAUCACUCGACGUCAUCUAGCAGUUCGAUUCUAUUUGAGAGACCACGCUUGUUUAUUGCAAUUCAGAAUUGCAUUGAUUCUAUCGUUGCUGUAUUUGCAAUUCAAUCCGAAUCAAUAUAUCCCAAAAAUUUUCUCUCCCCCACCGCUCAUCUUACUUUUUUAGAGUAUUAAAAAUCAUACUAUAACGCUUGAUAUUCAUUUUUUUUCUACUCAAAAUUGGCAAUUUUAUUUGCUAUGACUUUAUGUUCUCCUUAGAGAAAUAGGAAUCCUCAAAUUAUUAACAAAUAAAAAAAGAUCUAAAAAAAUGUCUAUAAUGAUCGAAUGAAAACACCAAUAAAUUCGUAUUUUCCCCUUAUUAUUUCUUUAAUAUAUAUAUAUUAUUAUAUCUUUAAUAUAUUUCAUAAUAUAUAUAUAUAUUUCUUUUCUAUGUAUUAGAUUAUUCGUCCGAGCUAUAUCAAAUUGAAAAUAUCUGAAAUCAAAUUCAAUAUAGAAAUUGGAAUCAACUCUUAGAAAAAAGAUUUGCGAAUUAGAGAAAUAAAAAGAAAGUUCAAUAAAUUCUAUACUUUUAUUUAAGGAUAUCCUCUAGUUAAGCAUAUCAAGCUAACUUUAUCUUUAAAAAGUUCUAGUAUUUUUUUAAGUAGAACUUCAAAUUGAGAACUAGUUAAUAGCUAAGAUUAAUAACUAAGAUCUCAGAUUUUACGGAUUUCUAUACUAUACCUAUUUCUAUUUGUUACACUAUUUCUGCUAUCUAAGCCCACUUAGCUCAGAGGUUAGAGCAUCGCAUUUGUAAUGCGAGGGUCAUCGGUUCAAAUCCGAUAGUCGGCUUUUUUUUCGUUAUCGAUGUUCUACGAACAAGAAUCUCUUUUUUUUUUCGGAUUAAAUGGGGAAUCCAGGAUCUUUUUUGUUUUCUACCUUACAAUUUUGCUAGAUACAAAAGAAUAAAAUAAAUAAUAUAUAUACAAAAAAUCCAGAUGUUGAUGAAAUUCUAUUUUUUAUGGUACUUUAGUUGAUUUUACUCUGUUUAUCCUUUAGUUUAAUUCAGUUUUAAUUUCGAUGUAUUCCGUAAUGUAAAUACAAUGAAAUUAAUUGUGUAAAAUGAAAUUUCAAUAAAAUAAAAAAGGAGUUUUCAUGUCCCGUUAUCGAGGACCUCGUUUAAAAAAAAUACGCCGUCUGGGAGCUUUACCAGGACUCACUAGAAAAACACCUAAAUCCGGAAGUAAUCUGAAAAAGAAAUUCCAUUCUGGGAAAAAGGAGCAAUAUCGUAUUCGUCUUCAAGAAAAACAGAAAUUGCGUUUUCAUUAUGGUCUGACAGAACGACAAUUACUUAGAUAUGUACAUAUCGCUGGAAAAGCAAAAAGGUCCACAGGUCAGGUUUUACUACAAUUACUUGAAAUGCGUUUGGAUAAUAUCCUUUUUCGAUUGGGUAUGGCGGCAACCAUUCCUGGGGCCCGCCAAUUAGUCAACCAUAGACAUAUUUUGGUUAAUGGUCGUAUAGUUAAUAUACCAAGUUUUCGUUGCAAACCUCGAGAUAUUAUUACUACGAAAGAUAACCAAAGAUCACAAAGUCUGGUUCAAAAUUCUAUUGCUUCAUCCGACCCGGGAAAAUUGCCAAAGCAUUUGACGAUUGACACAUUGGAAUAUAAAGGACUAGUAAAUAAAAUCCUAGAUAGGAAGUGGGUAGGUCUCAAAAUAAAUGAGUUGUUAGUUGUAGAAUAUUACUCUCGUCAGACUUGAACUUAACGAAAAAAGGAAAGGUUCAUAGAAUUUUCUUCCCCUUUUCCCGAACUAAAUCGACCUAAGGCCCUAAUUCGUAUUUUCCUACUCAACUAGCAAAAAUGGAUUAACCCGAGGAUCCUUUUUUCUUUUUUGUUCUUUUCUCUAUGUGUAUUUUUACAUACCACAGUAAUUUGCUAUAGAGAAUUUCUAUUAAAUAAGGGUAAGGGUAUUAUUGCUGGAAUAAAUUGUUAUUUGAUUUGAUACACUGUGCUCCUUAACGUUGAUGAAUUAAGAAAAACGGAAAGAGAGGGAUUCGAACCCUCGGUAAACAAAAGUCUACAUAGCAGUUCCAAUGCUACGCCUUGAACCGCUCGGCCAUCUCUCCCACAUAACUCAUUAUGGCAAAUAAACUGAGUAAAUAGCGAGUUUUCCUAUUCCUGCAGUACAAGUACAACCGCUCAGGGGUUCCAUAGUUCUAUUGGAAAAAUUCCUUUUGAUCUAAGUUAAGUGGAAGGAUCCAGGAUUUUUUUACUAGGAAUUGCUUCCCCUAUAAAAGUUUUAGUUUGGAUUUUCCUAAAACCAAAGAAAAAGAGAAUGGAAGAAUUCUUCUUAUUGCAUAAUAAAAUAAAGAAACCUUAGAAUUCUGUUUGCAUAAGGUACGCUACACCAGACUAUCGAAAUCGAAAAUAAGGUAUGAGACAAUUAAUAACUUUGAAAACACGAAAUAGCUGAUGAGCGAAGUUGUUGUUGAGAAAUAGGAAAGUAGAAUCAAACCCAGUCUUAGUCAAAUAUUUAAUAUAUCUUCUUGUCCAAACAGAAAGAAAAGGAAAAAAUUAAAGCUGAGCGGAAAAUCCAUACCUCUCUUAUCGAUUUAGAGCAUAUGGAUCGAUCUAGUUAUAAGAAUCAAAUGUGUUUGUUUUUAUGUUAUUUUGUGAAGGAAUGAAAACAAUUUUAUCAUAGAAUGGGUUGGGAAUUAUGCCUAGAUCCCGUGUAAAUGGAAAUUUCAUUGAUAAGACCUCCUCAAUUGUAGCCAAUAUUUUAUUGCGAAUAAUUCCAACAACCUCAGGGGAAAAAAGGGCAUUUACUUAUUAUAGAGAUGGUGCGAUUUGACUCUUUUUUUUUGUUUUUUUUAGCCCUACCUACACCUCAGUCUUCUGAUAAGGAGAGGGGGUUCGCAUAGAGAGAACAAAAUUAGUAAAGCAAACCCACGCUUUGGGAAGGUGAGGUUAAUUAACAAUUCCUUCUAUCGUGUAUCCUCGAUUGAUGCGGCCUCAGAUGCUUCAAUUGUAGAUUUAAGUAUUGAGCGAAAGGUUACACCUAACAGGAUAGGUUAUGGAUUACAGGCCAAUCCUACUCUAUUAGUACCAAUAGGCAGCACAUAGGGGAGAAAAGCACUACACCUAAAAAUAGGAAUCAACAAGAGAAAAACUUUGUUAUAAAUUAACCCUUUCCUAAUCGAUAUCAGGGCUGGGAAGAAUGGUUGGGAUAAUAAACAACCAUCAGGUUUGUACUUUGGAUACCCCUAUAACCAUCAAAGAUCGUUGAAGUGGCUAAUUCCUCUAAAUAGAAGGCGUUGAGAACAAAGAAAUUCUUGGAGCUAUGAUUUUCCUCUAGCAUUAAUAGAAUUCAUAGAAUUCAUUGGUGUUAGGAAAAACCUCUUGCGGGAAGGUUGGCUAGAGAUUUCUUGGAAAAAUACCAGCCCCUUUCGGUCCAUAAUGAGACGGGACUAAUUUGAUUCUAUAGAUUAUUUCGCUUAGUACUAUGUACAGAAGGGAGGAGCCGUAUGAGAUGAAAACCUCAUGUACGGUUUUGGAACGGAGAUUUUUUGAAUAGAAUGAACGACCGUAACGGAUGUUGGCUCAAUCCGAAGGAAAUUAUGCGGAAGCUUUGCAAAAUUAUUAUGAAGCUACGCGACUAGAAAUCGAUCCCUACGAUCGAAGUUAUAUACUCUAUAACAUAGGCCUUAUACACACAAGCAAUGGAGAGCAUACAAAGGCUUUGGAAUAUUAUUUCCGGGCACUAGAGCGAAACCCCUUCUUACCGCAAGCUUUUAAUAAUAUGGCUGUGAUCUGUCAUUACGUGCGACUAUCUCCACUAUAGAAAGAAAAAAAGAAAGAAUCAAAUUUCUAGUAAAUACUAGACAAAAGGGUCUUUCUACAUAGGGGUCGUAAAAACAACGAUUUUUCCCUAUCAGCUGUAGGAAGGAAAGACACUUCACGAGAAUCAAAAAAGGAAGAAAGUAUGGCCUAUACUACUACUCUAUGGAUAAAGUUCUCAAAUUGAUAGAGAAAGCACCGUAAAGAUCAAUUAGUGAGCGACUUGGUCGAUACAACUAAAAAAAACUGCUUACUUAUCCCAUGAUAUGGGGCAAAGUUUAGGAAUCUGCUUAUGUAAUAGAGCCGAUCCACUAAGGGAUUAAGCAGCGGUGUAGUAUCAGAUCCCAAAGAUAGUAAGUUCUUUUUUCUUUCUUAUCUUAUGGGAAAAAGUCUUUUUCAAGGAUUCUAUAGGGAUUUCAUAUAUGAAACCGGGAUAGUUACUUUUCAGAAAAUUCGAACGAAAGCUCUCGAUCUAUCUAUGCUUCAUUCUUCUGAAGGUGGGAAAAAAGAUCAAACUGAUUAGUUAUAAAAAUUAGGGUUUGAAACUUAGGUAAUUAACUUCUUCUGCUUAACCCAAAAACAAAUUGGAUCGAUUUUUCAAAAAUCGAAUUCAGUUAAGAUAGGGGAAAUUAAGAUAGCAAUUUCUGAGCCGUAUGAGGUAGGAAACUCUCAAGUACGGUUCUAGGGGAAGGAACUGCCUAUUCCGACCGAGGAGAACAGGCCAUUCUACAGGGUGAUUCAGAAAUUGCAGAAGCUUGGUUUGAUCAAGCUGCUGAGUAUUGGAAACAAGCUAUAGCGCUUACUCCGGGAAAUUAUAUUGAAGCACAGAACUGGUUGAAGAUUACGAAGCGCUUUGAAUUUGAAUAAGACCACGUUCCUUUUUCAUAUAAAUUAGGUCGUAAGAUCGAAUCAAGAAUUUCAUUAUAUCCCGUUCGUCUUUCUUCUACCUUCUAUUUUAUAUGAGAUUUUAUAAGGAUAAACCAGAGGGAUAGGAUCUAGAAUAGAAGUAAUAAAGCGAAUAAAAAGAGGGGCAAUCUAAAUACUGCUAAUAUAUCAAGACCAUCUUAUUAAUUCUUAAAUAAUUCUAAUGAGUUAUCUUGGAAUUUAGAAUCAAAUAAAAAAUCCUAUAUUACGCUCAAGGAAAGUAGAUGUAGAUAGGAGCUUAUACUCUCAAAAAAAAAUACACCAGUUUAUUAAAUUUUAAAAAGAUUUUUUUCUUACAUCGGGAAAUAUAUACAUAUAUAUAUAUAUUUUUUUUUCAAGAUAUAUAAUGUCCGUUAGGCACCUAAUCCUUAUGUCAUAAUAGAUCCGAACACUUGCCUAGGAUUGACUUCAAUAUAUAAUUGCUCCAGUGAAUAACUAUAAAAAAAUAGAAGGACGGUAGAUAGUAAAGAAAAGAACUAAUCAUAAUAUCUAUCUUUCAAAAUCUAUCUUUCAAAGAUUCACUAAAAAGACAGUUGGCAGGUCUCUUUAUAUGUCUUGUCCGGAAAGAGGAGGACUUAAUGAUUAUUCGUUCGCCGGAACCAGAAGUAAAAAUUAUUGUGGAUAGGGAUCCUGUAAAAACAUCUUUUGAGGAAUGGGCCAGACCCGGCCAUUUCUCAAAAACACUAGCUAAGGGCCCUGAUACUACCACUUGGAUCUGGAACCUACAUGCUGAUGCUCACGAUUUCGAUAGUCAUACGGGUGAUUUGGAGGAGAUCUCUCGAAAAGUCUUUAGUGCUCAUUUCGGGCAACUCUCCAUUAUCUUUCUUUGGUUGAGUGGCAUGUACUUCCAUGGUGCCCGUUUUUCCAAUUAUGAAGCAUGGCUAAGUGAUCCUACUCACAUUGGACCCAGUGCUCAGGUGACCCUUUCGUUUCCUUCGUCUCUCGAAGGUGCGAUCUGCACUGUUAGUUGGGGAUCGACCUCGUUCAUUGUGAACUGAGUCCUCUCCAUCCGCCCAUCGAUUGGCAAUUUUCAUCAGAUAUCCGAUGAUAGAGGGUCGAACGCGACCCAAUUCUUCUUUGAGCUCGACUCGACGAAGGCCUCGUUUGAAUGCGUCUAUGGCGCUUUCAUCUAAGAUUUCUUCGGAGAAGUGCUUCGAGCUAGUCCAUCGCUGGAUAUAGGAGCGGAUAGACUCUCCUUCAUACUGAACACACGAGCGGAGUUGUUCGAGAGACACUGGUCGUUUAUACGUGGCUUUGAAAUUGCAUGUAAAAGCUUGAACCAGCUCGUCCCACGAAGUGAGCUCACCGCCGCGCAAGCUGUUUAACCAGGUGCGAGCUUGACCCCUGAGCCGGAGUUGAAGAUACUGCAUAGCGGUAGUCCGAGUUCCACCUUGGCAUCGAACCCUGGUGAGGUAGUCCUCUAACCAAGUUCUAGGCUCCUGCGUUCCGUCAUUUGACUAGGUCAGAAGGUGGCUUGAAAUUUCUUGGCAUCCUGGUUCGGCGAAUCCGACGAUUGAAGCAUGGCGCUCCACAUGCUUCGUGGUCUGAAUCAGGAGAGUCCUCCCUGCAGCUGGCUAGGCGGCUAUCGGCUCGACGAGGAGAUUGACUCCUUCUGUGAGGGUUUUGCUUGUGCUCGUUUUGACCAGAGUCGGGCAAUCGGUGAUCAUGCUGAAGCUCGCCAUCCUUAUGAGGCAGGGCGGUCAGGUUUUGGUUGAUACACGAAGCUCCCGAUUUAGCUAAUCCCUUAAGGAUUUGCUCGCGGAUGCGCCAGCACGGGUCAUUGUCGGGCAGUGGGAUUGAC